rnacentral:rRNA from 1 species
UACAGAGGGUGCGAGCGUUGUUCGGAAUUAUUGGGCGUAAAGGGCGCGUAGGCGGCUUGUCAAGUCAAAGGUGAAAUCCCUCGGCUCAACUGAGGAACUGCCUUUGAAACUGUCUGGCUUGAGGCCGGGAGGGGGUAGCGGAAUUCCCAGUGUAGCGGUGAAAUGCGUAGAUACUGGGAGGAACACCAGUGGCGAAGGCGGCUACCUGGACCGGUUCUGACGCUGAGGCGCGAAAGCGUGGGUAGCAAACAGG